rnacentral:rRNA from 1 species
UACGUAGGUGGCAAGCGUUAUCCGGAAUUAUUGGGCGUAAAGAGCGUGUAGGCGGCCAGGUAGGUCUGCUGUGAAAACUCGAGGCUCAACCUCGAGACGUCGGCGGAAACCAUCUGGCUAGAGUCCGGAAGAGGAGAGUGGAAUUCCUGGUGUAGCGGUGAAAUGCGCAGAUAUCAGGAAGAACACCCGUGGCGAAGGCAGCAUCCUGGGAAGUUCCUGACGCUCGGGUGCGAAAGCCAGGGGAGCGAACGGG